GACAAGCCUGGAAAAGGGAAGGGGGAGAUGGUCGGAUAUGGGCUGAAUCCUCAGGUCCCCCUCGUGCUGCUGAGUCUGCACUGGCCUGGAGAAUUGCUCAGCUCUGAGGUGUUUUCUCUCCUUUGCCCUGAACAGCUGGUUUUGUGGCUGCACACAGUGAAGGCUGAAGCUGCAGAGGGAGCACACACGGAGCAUCACUGACAGCACACCCUGAGCAUCCCGGCGGCACGGCACUGAGCAUCGCCAGUGGCACAGUGGGCUCUGCAACCUGGCACAGGUGACACCAGCUUCCCAGCAGCGAGAGGAGAUUCAAGGUUUACAAACACUCAACUUUCUCAUCCUGCUCUCCAGGUGAAGAACAGAAAGUCAGUCUCCAUGUCCUGCACACAAGCUGGUGUUUUUGGGGAAAUGCCGGUGGGACGGGGGCUUGAGGUCCAUGGGCUGGUGCUGCGGUUCUGGCCCCUGAGCUGGGCAGUGACCAAUCAGGGCUGCUUGGGAGCCAAAAGGGGGGACAAUGGGAGAACUGGGGGUUUUCGGGGACCGAGGGCCCCAGGCACAUCCUGCUCUGGUUUUGCUGUAAGUGGGAACCCUCCGCUUUGGGGAGCUGAGCUCCGAGCCUCAGGGUACAAGGAAAGGACCAGCAUUAAACUGUGCUCCUACCUGGAGGUGAAAA